UGUCCUUUUUUCAUUCAAUUGUCAUGAUUGUUAUAUGAGAGAAUGUGACUCACUGAUCACCAAAUAUUUACUUGCACUAAGUAACAUGAUGGGUGAAACCGGUAAAGCAGAAACAGAUUACCCUGAGGGAGGGAAGGACCUUUACCGAGACUUCGGGAUCAGCUGUUUUUAAGCUCAGGAAUUUCGUGAUUGAUGCUUUCCCAAUCCAGGAAGUCUUUUUCGAAUAUCUGGAUGUCAGGAUUUAAAUGUCCUUUAAUUUGGGGCCUCAGGAUUUUAUGUUUUUAAGCCCAGGAUUUUGGGAUCAGGACCCCCUCCCCUUUCUACCCUACAACACAGAGCAUCAAUAGAGUUUGAACAUGGUUUUUCAUUGUCUUUGUAAUGUCCAAUCUUCAUUUUUCUGUGCAGUGUUCAUUGGCUUAUUAAUCUAUAAGUCAGGGAUAUUUUUUCGAUCAUGGUGCCGUCUGAUUUUAUUUGUUUUUGAUUUUUAACUGUUUUGUGCUCUCUUCCUCUUUUUACACCGGUCAACAAUUUUGCCUAGUUUAAUUUCUCAUGUGACAGAAAAAUGCAUUCUUGUUUUUAAAAUAUAUCAUAUUAAAGAUUUAUCUUUGGAUCUAUUACAUAUCUUAUACAUUUACCAUUAAUCUGUAAAGAGAAAAACUAUUUCCUACACUUGAUUAG
rnacentral:lncRNA from 1 species